rnacentral:rRNA from 1 species
UACGUAGGGGGCAAGCGUUAUCCGGAAUUACUGGGUGUAAAGGGUGAGUAGGCGGUAAGGCAAGUCAUGUGUGAAAGCCCUAAGCUCAACUUAGGGACUGCACAAGAAACUGUCAGACUAGAGUACAGGAGAGGUAAGUGGAAUUCCUAGUGUAGCGGUGAAAUGCGUAGAUAUUAGGAAGAACACCAGUGGCGAAGGCGACUUACUGGACUGAAACUGACGCUGAGUCACGAAAGCGUGGGGAGCGAACAGG